CCUACGGGUGGCAGCAGUGAGGAAUAUUGCACAAUGGGCGAAACGCUGAUGCAGCGACGCCGCGUGUGGGAAGACGGUCCUCUGGAUUGUAAACCACUGUCCCCAGGGACGAAGAUGACGGUACCUGGGGAGGAAGCUCCGGCUAACUACGUGCCAGCAGACGCGGUAAUACGUAGGGAGCGAGCGUUGUCCGGAAUUACUGGGUGUAAAGGGAGCGUAGGCGGGGAUGCAAGUUGGGUGUAAAAACUACCGGCUCAACUGGGAGUCGCACUCAGAACUGCAGCUCUUGAGUGAAGUAGAGGCAGGCGGAAUUCCUAGUGUAGCGGUGAAAUGCGUAGAUAUUAGGAGGAACACCAGUGGCGAAGGCGGCUUGCUGGGCUUUUACUGACGCUGAGGCUCGAAAGUGUGGGGAGCAAACAGGAUUAGAUACCCGGGUAGUC
rnacentral:rRNA from 1 species